AUUGAACGCUGGCGGCAUGCCUUACACAUGCAAGUCGAACGGCAGCGCGGACUUCGGUCUGGCGGCGAGUGGCGAACGGGUGAGUAAUACAUCGGAACGUACCCUGUUGUGGGGGAUAACUAGUCGAACGAUUAGCUAAUACCGCAUACGACCUGAGGGUGAAAGUGGGGGACCGCAAGGCCUCACGCAGCAGGAGCGGCCGAUGUCUGAGUAGCUAGUUGGUGGGGUAAAGGCCCGCCAAGGCGACGAUCAGUAGCUGGUCUGAGAGGAAGGUCAGCCACACUGGGACUGAGACACGGCCCAGACUCCUACGGGAGGCAGCAGUGGGGAAUUUUGGACAAUGGGGGCAACCCUGAUCCAGCAAUGCCGCGUGUGUGAAGAAGGCCUUCGGGUUGUAAAGCACUUUUGUCCGGAAAGAAAUCGCGCUGGUUAAUACCUGGCGUGGAUGACGGUACCGGAAGAAUAAGCACCGGCUAACUACGUGCCAGCAGCCGCAGUAAAAC
rnacentral:rRNA from 1 species